AGGGAGGGAAAAUCCAUAACUCCCUCAAAUUGGGGAAUAGUGAAGCGGAAGCCCAAAGCGUGGCGGUGCUCUAAGAACUCCGGCCAUCUUUCGGCGAAAAUUGCCAAAAAUUGUGUUUUCUCAUAUAUCAAGUGUAGCUCGGGCAUAUAGCUUCAACCUCUAGUGUUGGAGAGCCCGAAUUACUCUCUUCCCUUUAAAUUCUAGAGCCCUAAAAACUCCAUCCCCGACGGCUUUUUUGGGCUAAAAUCACGAUUGCCCAACCAUAUAGCUUACACCUCCGGUGUUUUCUUAUUGUAGCAAAAUGUUCUUAUUUAUUUAAGUUGGAUUUUUUGCUCUCCUCAUUUUCUGUGUUUUAUCUCAUGUAUGUGAAAGUUGUUGGAUCUUCAAAAUGAAGUAUUCUUCUCAAAUGCCUCAAGUUUUUGGUAUGCAAGAGAGCCCGGCAGCAUCAACUUGGAAAAUUGGUGUAGAAGAGAUAUCACUUGGCUUUUAAAUCUGCUGAUUUUGGAAAAUUUGUGAAGCUCCGCAUUGUUCUGUCACUUGGUUUUACUGGAAUCUGUUUUUGAAUUAGUUUCCACUUGCUUAUAACAGGUAAAAGUGCUAAAUUUUGGCAACUUGGUUAUAUUCAAUAAUUCAAGCAUUCACCCUCAACAUAAAAUGCAAAACUCAAAAUCCAUGGCGAGAAUAAGAAAUACUGAUGCCAAACAUAAUAAAAGGAACAUAGUUUACACCCAUUUUCCAUUAUCAAUACAUAUUACAAUAAACUAGAAGGAGAUGUGUUUUCCAGUGGUGGUUUGGCGUCGACGGAGGACAACAGGUUCGCUUCCUUUAAAUCUGGGUUGGUAUAUUUGGGUAAUGCUUCUAGGUGCUUUCGUCACUUGUUUUGUGCCGGCCAGAGGUGGAGGUGAAUUCGACGAUUUUCUCUUGUCUUUGUGAACGGAGGCGAUGGCUUUGAGGACAAAAAAAAGGACGCAAGAUCAGAUUUCAAUUUGUCCUGAGAACUUGAUAUUCGGACGGUUAACUUUAACUCAAAAUUCUCGAUAGUUAUCUUACAAACUUGAGAUUAG
rnacentral:lncRNA from 1 species